rnacentral:lncRNA from 1 species
GUAUUGCAAUUCCAAGCAAGGCCAUGGUUUCUGAGCUGGUAUUUUUUGUUUGUUUGUUUUUUUGGCUUUAUUGAGGUACACUUGACAAGUAAAAAUUGUAUAUAUUUAAGGUGUAGAACUUGAUGUUUUGGUAUAUGUAUAUAUGAUAUAGUGAAAUGAAUUCUGUUGGGGAGACUGCAAGGCAUGUUGAAGAUAAGCAUUUUGCCCAGUUAUGGGGUAGUCUCUGCAUCUAGCUCCCAGAUUUUGCACCCAUUCUCCUUAUGUAGGAUGUCUGCACUUCAAAAUAUUUGGGUGGAGAACAGUUUAUUCACCUUGGUUCCUCUUAGAGCAUUGGGAGAAUUUAGAAAAAAUAUCUUAAUACAAAUUUUGAAAUGGGAGGUGAUAUUCAACAAGGGGAGCACAAGUAGUGAAAGAUGGUCAUUUAACAGGUUUCUAAGGAGACUGGCAAUUGUCACUUGGAAGACAUUAGUUUCACCCAGUCCUGUGAGACAAGGAGGGGAUACAGGUCAGAAUUUGGACAGAGAUGAAUUGCUCCACAUAUAGCAAAGAAGGAAUUAGAAAUUCAGAGAAAUUCCAGAAUGGAGUCACUGGACAGAUCAGAGAAAACAAGAAGAGCGAGGUCAGCAGUCUGAAGCUACGUCACAGUCAUUCAAUCUGUGCUCCCUGUGUACCUUCAUACCGUCCACAAGGCUCCUCACCAUCUCCGUCUGGGCUGCUAUCUCUUCCAUCAACAGGUAUGUCAUCCUGGUGCAACCAUGAUGAGAUCAGGAAAAGGAGGAAUAUAGCCAGAAGCAGAGAAAUGCUGCCGCUGAGCGGGUCUACUCUCAUUGCUGCCAAGACAGAAAAUUCUGCCCAGAUUUGGGCUACUGUAUGUCCACUUGGGGAACCAGGGAGACUCACCCCAUAUUGAGCGGAGAGCGAUGGACAAUGGUUUACCACUAGUCAAGUGAAGCUGGUAAAGACCAACACCAUGGCUAUUGAGAGGACCACGGGAUACGAUGCUUGUAAUUCAUGAAACACAGUAUGGCAGGUACUCUGAAUAUAAAUCACUAUUAUCAAUAUUGUCUCACCAUCAUCACCUUUAGAACGAUAACCGUUAUUCUUUAAUUAGUGUAUUCAAUAAACACUCAUUUACUCUUCUCA